GAGGAAGAUGGAAUUAGUUGUGUAGGGGUAAAAUCCGUAGAGAUAACUAGGAAUACCAAAAGCGAAGGCAAUCUUCUGGAACAUUACUGACGCUGAGGCGCGAAAGCGUGGGGAGCAAACAGGAUUAGAUACCCUGGUAGUCCACGCCCUAAACGAUGAAUGUUAGUCGUCGGGUAGCUAGUCUAUUCGGUGAUGCAGCUAACGCAUUAAACAUUCCGCCUGGGGAGUACGGUCGCAAGAUUAAAACUCAAAGGAAUAGACGGGGACCCGCACAAGUGGUGGAGCAUGUGGUUUAAUUCGAAGGUACGCGAAGAACCUUACCUAGCCUUGACAUAUUUUAGAACUCCGUAGAGAUACAGAGGUGCCUUCGGGAGCUAAUUUACAGGUGCUGCACGGCUGUCGUCAGCUCGUGUCGUGAGAUGUUGGGUUAAGUCCCGCAACGAGCGCAACCCUCGUCACUAGUUACUAACGGUUCGGCCGAGGACUCUAGUGAGACUGCCUUCGUAAGGAGGAGGAAGGUGAGGACGACGUCAAGUCAUCAUGGCCCUUACGGCUAGGGCAACACACGUGCUACAAUGGCCAGGACAGUGAGACGCGAUACCGCGAGGUGGAGCAAAUCUAUAAACCUGGUCUCAGUUCGGAUUGUAGUCUGCAACUCGACUACAUGAAGCUGGAAUCACUAGUAAUCGUAGAUCAGCUAUGCUACGGUGAAUACGUUCCCGGGUCUUGUACUCACCGCCCGUCACACCAUGGGAGUUGAUUUCACCCGAAGCGGGGAAGCUAAACUGGCUACCCUCCACGGUGGAAUUAGCGACUGGGGUGAAGUCGUAACAAGGUAACC
rnacentral:rRNA from 1 species